AACUGAGUAUAAUGCCCGAUAGAACACUAUACCUGGAAUGGUUUGUGUUCCAAAUGAAUGUCGCCGUAGGAUGGGACUGCGGCCUAUCAGUUUGUUGGUGAGGUAAUGGCCCACCAAGACUAUUACAGGUACGGGCUCUGAGAGGAGUAGCCCGGAGAUGGGUACUGAGACACGGACCCAGGCCCUAUGGGGCGCAGCAGGCGAGAAAACUUUGCAAUGUGCGAAAGCACGACAAGGUUAAUCCGAGUGGUUUGUGCUAAACGAACCUUUUGACAGUCCUAGAAACACUGUUGAAUAAGGGGUGGGCAAGUUCUGGUGUCAGCCGCCGCGGUAAAACCAGCACCUCAAGUGGUCAGGAUGAUUAUUGGGCCUAAAGCAUCCGUAGCCGGCUCUGUAAGUUUUCGGUUAAAUCUGUACGCUCAACGUACAGGCUGCCGGGAAUACUGCAGAGCUAGGGAGUGGGAGAGGUAGACGGUACUCGGUAGGAAGGGGUAAAAUCCUUUGAUCUAUUGAUGACCACCUGUGGCGAAGGCGGUCUACCAGAACACGUCCGACGGUGAGGGAUGAAAGCUGGGGGAGCAAACCGGAUUAGAUACCCGGGUAGUCCCAGCUGUAAACUAUGCAAACUCAGUGAUGCAUUGGCUUGUGGCCAAUGCAGUGCUGCAGGGAAGCCGUUAAGUUUGCCGCCUGGGAAGUACGUACGCAAGUAUGAAACUUAAAGGAAUUGGCGGGGGAGCACCACAAGGGGUGAAGCCUGCGGUUC
rnacentral:rRNA from 1 species